GAUGAACGCUGGCGGCGUGCCUAAUACAUGCAAGUCGAGCGAACGGACGAGAAGCUUGCUUCUCUGAUGUUAGCGGCGGACGGGUGAGUAACACGUGGAUAACCUACCUAUAAGACUGGGAUAACUUCGGGAAACCGGAGCUAAUACCGGAUGAUAUUUUGAACCGCAUGGUUCAAAAGUGAAAGACGGUCUUGCUGUCACUUAUAGAUGGAUCCGCGCUGCAUUAGCUAGUUGGUAAGGUAACGGCUUACCAAGGCAACGAUGCAUAGCCGACCUGAGAGGGUGAUCGGCCACACUGGAACUGAGACACGGUCCAGACUCCUACGGGAGGCAGCAGUAGGGAAUCUUCCGCAAUGGGCGAAAGCCUGACGGAGCAACGCCGCGUGAGUGAUGAAGGUCUUCGGAUCGUAAAACUCUGUUAUUAGGGAAGAACAUAUGUGUAAGUAACUGUGCACAUCUUGACGGUACCUAAUCAGAGAGCCACGGCUAACUACGUG
rnacentral:rRNA from 1 species